rnacentral:ncRNA from 1 species
GUUCCUUGUAAGACAAGGCUAAGAUGGAAGUCAGGUGAAAUCCCUGCACGGUCCCGCCACUGUAAUAACGGAGUUGCUACAAUAUGCCACUGGCACUAGCUGGGAAGGCGCUAGCGAUGAUGAAGUUUAAGUCAGGAGACAUGCAUU